rnacentral:rRNA from 1 species
AGUGAACGCUGGCGGUAGGCCUAACACAUGUAAGUCGAACGGCAGCACAGUAAGAGCUUGCUCUUACGGGUGGCGAGUGGCGGACGGGUGAGGAAUACAUCGGAAUCUACUUUUUCGUGGGGGAUAACGUAGGGAAACUUACGCUAAUACCGCAUACGACCUACGGGUGAAAGCAGGGGAUCUUCGGACCUUGCGCGAUUGAAUGAGCCGAUGUCGGAUUAGCUAGUUGGCGGGGUAAAGGCCCACCAAGGCGACGAUCCGUAGCUGGUCUGAGAGGAUAAUCAGCCACACUGGAACUGAGACACGGUCCAGACUCCUACGGGAGGCAGCAGUGGGGAAUAUUGGACAAUGGGCGCAAGCCUGAUCCAGCCAUACCGCGUGGGUGAAGAAGGCCUUCGGGUUGUAAAGCCCUUUUGUUGGGAAAGAAAAGCAGCAGGUUAAUACCCCGCUGUUCUGACGGUACCCAAAGAAUAAGCACCGGCUAACUUCGUG